rnacentral:rRNA from 1 species
AUAUUGGACAAUGGGGGCAACCCUGAUCCAGCCAUGCCGCGUGUGUGAAGAAGGUCUUCGGAUUGUAAAGCACUUUAAGUUGGGAGGAAGGUCUUUCGGUUAAUACCCUGAAGUUUUGACGUUCCCAACAGAAUAAGCACUGGCUAACUCUGUGCCCGCAGCCGCGGUAAUACAGAGGGUGCAAGCGUGAAUCGGAAUUACUGGGCGUAAAGCGCGGGUAGGUGGUUCAGUAAGAUGGGUGUGAAAUCCCCGGGCUUAACCUGGGAACUGCUUUCAUAACUGCUGAGCUAGAGUACGGUAGAGGGUAGUGGAAUUUCCUGUGUAGCGGUGAAAUGCGUGGAUAUAGGAAGGAACACCAGUGGCGAAGGCGACUACCUGGACUGAUACUGACACUGAGGUGCGAAAGCGUGGGGAGCAAACA